AUGCUGAAGUUGCAACUGAUCCCACAAAAUUCAGAAAAAGAUUCUGAUUCUUUUGCAGAUUGUAGCUUUUAUUUGAGUAGCAGUAAAGACUGGGUUUAUUUCAAACACUAAUUUUGUUAAAAAGAAAUGCAAGAUAGGAAUGCAUAUUAAACUUAUUAAACUAAUACCUCAAUAACUUUUGAGGAUAUUGCCUUAUAGAACUGUAUCACCUGAAAUGUUCCUGUCUCUGAGACAUCAAAUUAGACGUGUUUUGGUGCACAGUGCUCGUGGUACUAGUGUAUGUAUGUGGUACCACAGAUUUAUGAUAUGCCAGAAUAAAGGUAAAGCUGCUUAAAACCGCAUUAAUCAUCUAGUUAUGCACACAGCAAUGCAUAUCCCCUGUGGGAGAUAUGUAUAAUAUCUUUGUGUAAUAUAGGACACUCAUGUUUUGCAGACUUCAGACCAUCAGAGAAAUGCUAGAACUGGAAUUCUACAAUGAAAUAUUCCCAAAGAGACGAGAACUUCCAAACCUGGUUUUUUACUUGUAUGAAGAAGUGCUCAUGGGCCCAGAAGGCAGAAGUACUCAUUUAAUUGCUAAAUUCAGGUUUAUAUGUGGAACAGAGGAGUAGACUUGAAAUCAAAACUCUGGAUCCAGACACUGCUGGUAGGGAAAUUCAGACCUUUUGCAGAUAUAGCUACAUGCAUACAACACAUUCUCUCAUGAAUUUAUGCUCAGAUUAUAGGUAUUUACUUGAAGCUUCAAUUACUGGACUAUUGCACUCUCAUUUCCUGUAAGAGUUAGACACUGUCAGACUUUGAAAUGAAACUGUUUCAUGGAAGAUUUAUUACAUUUCUUAUCCUGUGCAUGCCCACUGACAUCAAGCAAUUCUGAGUGUCAGACAGUAGGACUCUGAGUUCUGCUUAAAAACUGUGGGCAAUUUAGUUCCACAGUUGAUCCCAUCUAAAGCAAACCAUGGCAUUAUAACAAAUGAAACAACAACAAAAACAACAACAAAAAACAGCUGUUAUCAAUGGCUGAAGCACAGUUUUGUACCAGACUGUUUACCAAACGAACUGUCCAUCAAUUAGUGGACUAGACAGUAUCUCCAUUUGGCAACUACUAUUUUCUCCUUUCUCUUCUGUAUGAUACCUUUGUGUAAAGAGAACAUUUGCUCCAGGAGAAAGAUCUUUAUCAUUUCCUUCUUACAUUCUGGGACUGAAGACUGCAUCCCCCAACUCCCAGAAGCCUGUGGCAGACAUCAGGCUGUUCAGCAUGUAGAUAGUGACUUUCCACUCUUCCUGGUGAAAUGAUGAUGGCAUAGCAAACACAACAAGAUUCAGGACAAGCAAGAAAAAGUACAAGAAGUUGAUCUUGUAGGUCAGUGAUAUCGGUAAUUCCCAAGCACAGAGAAGACCUAUCUGCUAGACUCUGGUCCUGGCCCACUGGAGUGAGAAAUAAAAGCAAGAAACAAUCCUGACAUUCACCAGUUUCUUUGUUGAGUUGGAGAGCUGAGCCUGUUUAUUUUAGACGUGCAACUUCUUAUUUAGGAAUUUCAGCCUCCUGACAAAUGCUACUGCUUCCAUGCAAUCAUUACUUCAUUGUUUCAUGGCUACAGGUGCACAAACACUGCCAUGCAACAGCAGUAACUACUUAGCUCUGGCAUGAGGCAACAAGUACUCUGUCAGUCAGCUCCUGGACACGAUCCAGAGGAUGGUACAUGGCAGGGUUGGACCCCAAUAGUCAGGAUUGACUAGGUCACCCAUUUUUUUUUAGGGGAAGAGAGGUUAGCCAUAGCUGCCACAUUUGCUCUCAGACUGGCAACUCGGCCCAACGCUACACCCCUUCGCACAGCUCUAGCCUAUGAGACCAAAAAGGGGAGUCCCAUCUUGAACAAACAAGAAGCCUCUGUUGUUUGGGUCUGCUAAAGGCAGCAGACUGAUAAAUACGGAACAGAUGCAAUAAAAAAGAGUAAAAGCUAUCUCAAAUUAUCCUCUAUACUGACAAUCAUAAAGAAAACUAUAUGGAAUUGAACUGUACAUCAACAUACUGAUAAGUAUUUCAGGACCAUGCCUCAGGACUCCUGUAGCUAAGGGUAAAAGGAGAUUUGUCACCCACACAUACAACUCACAUGUGUAACAAUUGUGACAGAAUGUAAUUAUUACAUUUACUUUGGAAAGAAAAGUCAAUUUACUCUGUUGUUAAAAAAAAAAAAAAAGUAAAAUUAAUGAAGAUGUAAUCCUGGUAAUUGCAGAAAUUGGUGAGAAUUCUGAGUUCACUAGGCUACUAAAUUAGAUUAAUCUCCUCAAAAUAUAUUACACUGAAAUAUCUAAUUUCUAUGCAUUUAUGAACAUGUGUUGUAUGGUAUAAUUCUGUUUAAUCUUCAGAGGCCUCUCAGAGGCCUCUAAAUUUAAUCUUAGGCAAAAUGGCAAAGUUUUGCCUGAGUAAAGAAUGCCAAAUAAAGCCCUAAAAAGGGAUUGCUAGGAUCAGAAUUACUUCUUGUUUCCAGCUGCUUUGUUCUGUACUGGUAUUGUAAAGAUGCCAUGAAUUCAGCUUAAUUGGAGAGUUAAGCUAGGUUUACAGCUGUUUUUUUUCUUAUUUGAAGAAGUGCAAAGCAGCUGAACAUUCCAGAAUUGACAUCUCAAAUUGGGAUUACCUAUUUUCCUCUACCAGAUAAUUGAUGGAAAGAUGCACAGUGAAGCAGGCCUUUCUGAAGCAUAUCACUCUGCAUCUGAGAGAGUACUUAACCUGAAGGAAAUCAAUAAAAAAUAGGAAAAACCUAUUGCAUAUCAGACUUUGAGCGGUCUCUUUCUGACUGAAAAAAAAAAAAAAUCCCCAUGGAGAAAAACAUGGUCCUGGUGGGAGCUGAACGUUAACAUAUCUUCUAGGGAGGCUGAAAGACAUAGUUAUCCUUCAUGAGAAAAACAAUGUGAAGAAAAAAAUGCCUUCUCAUGAUCAACACUUCUGAUCUACCCUUCUUGAUAAAUAUCAC
ensembl:lncRNA